UAGCGGCGGACGGGUGAGUAAUGCUUAGGAAUCUGCCUAUUAGUGGGGGACAACAUUCCGAAAGGAAUGCUAAUACCGCAUACGCCCUACGGGGGAAAGCAGGGGAUCUUCGGACCUUGCGCUAAUAGAUGAGCCUAAGUCAGAUUAGCUAGUUGGUGGGGUAAAGGCCUACCAAGGCGACGAUCUGUAGCGGGUCUGAGAGGAUGAUCCGCCACACUGGGACUGAGACACGGCCCAGACUCCUACGGGAGGCAGCAGUGGGGAAUAUUGGACAAUGGGCGAAAGCCUGAUCCAGCCAUGCCGCGUGUGUGAAGAAGGCCUUUUGGUUGUAAAGCACUUUAAGCGAGGAGGAGGCUACUUGGAUUAAUACUCUAGGAUAGUGGACGUUACUCGCAGAAUAAGCACCGGCUAACUCUGUGCCAGCAGCCGCGGUAAUACAGAGGGUGCGAGCGUUAAUCGGAUUUACUGGGCGUAAAGCGUGCGUAGGCGGCUUUUUAAGUCGGAUGUGAAAUCCCUGAGCUUAACUUAGGAAUUGCAUUCGAUACUGGGAAGCUAGAGUAUGGGAGAGGAUGGUAGAAUUCCAGGUGUAGCGGUGAAAUGCGUAGAGAUCUGGAGGAAUACCGAUGGCGAAGGCAGCCAUCUGGCCUAAUACUGACGCUGAGGUACGAAAGCAUGGGGAGCAAACAGGAUUAGAUACCCUGGUAGUCCAUGCCGUAAACGAUGUCUACUAGCCGUUGGGG
rnacentral:rRNA from 1 species